rnacentral:rRNA from 1 species
GACGAACGCUGGCGGCGUGCUUAACACAUGCAAGUCGAACGGAAAGGCCCUGCUUUUGUGGGGUGCUCGAGUGGCGAACGGGUGAGUAACACGUGAGUAACCUGCCCUUGACUUUGGGAUAACUUCAGGAAACUGGGGCUAACACCGGAUAGGAGCUCCUGCGGCAUGGUGGGGGUUGGAAAGUUUGGGCGGUUGGGGAUGGACUCGCGGCUUAUCAGCUUGUUGGUGGGGUAGUGGCUUACCAAGGCUUUGACGGGUAGCCGGCCUGAGAGGGUGACCGGCCACAUUGGGACUGAGAUACGGCCCAGACUCCUACGGGAGGCAGCAGUGGGGAAUAGUGCACAAUGGGCGGAAGCCUGAUGCAGCAACGCCGCGUGCGGGAUGACGGCCUUCGGGUUGUACACCGCUUUCGCCUGUGACGAAGCGUGAGUGACGGUAAUGGGUAAAGAAGCACCGGCUAACUACGUG